rnacentral:lncRNA from 1 species
AUGCCAAGUAUAGACGGAUGUUGGAGCACACAAUGUUGUGGAGAACCACAGUGUUUUGGAUCAACUUUUGUUAUGGAAAUAUUUCCAAACUGUUGUCAUUUCUGCAUUGGUCACAACAUUGGCCAGGAAACAGGGGAAGAAGAACCAACUUUUUAUGAAGUUUUUGCCAACUCCACUCCAGGGCAAUGGCAAUUCUUCCCAUUUCAGGAGGAACACCCUUUUCCAGAUGACUCCUAAUAUUCUUCUUUCUUCAACUCAGGAGAUGCCCUGGGCUUUGCUUUAGUGUUCAGCUCUGCAGAAGUGUCCCCCAGAAUCCAGAUGCCUGGGAAUUUGCCCUGAAUUUACAGAAAGACAGACUUGCAAGUGCCAUUGGGUAAUAUAGAACUGCUUUUCUUACCUUUUGGUCCAAACAUGAUGUUGAAGCUUUCAUUGUUAUGAAUAUCUCUUUAUGUGGCAGCUGGUUCAUUUUUUAGAUGUCUUAUUCUCCCUCAGUGGGUCUUGUAGUCCUGAGCUGUUUUUUGUACUCUUUGUCUCUGUCAUGAGAAUCUAAAUGCAUUUCCUUCUGUGUCUCCUAGGAACUAAUUUGCCAGAUCUAAGAAUAUAAAAAGCAGUGCAUUCAGGUAAGUCCCAUGAAAAUAUGUCACACUUCUGUAGCUGAAUAUUUUCCAAUACAUUUUCCUUUUUCUCAUAUUUGCUCUACUGUAACAGCACUCUUGUCUUUAUUUCCCCCCGCCUUUCCCUUGUCCUGUACUUCACAAAUGCAGUAAUAAUCUAUAUUUCAUCUCAGUCAAAAAUCUCAUCACUCCCUAUAUUCUCAUCAGUCUGUUAUCUCCAGCAUAAUUACAUUACUUAAUACAUUGUACAGUUCAAGGACUUUUUUUAAUAGUGAACAAUCUAUAUCCUAUUACCAGUCAGUGUUAUCAUGCAGAUGUUAUUUGAGAAUUACUUG